GCCCGCCUAGCUCAAUCGGAUAGAGUGUCAGACUCUUAAAAUAAGUCCCCUUGUUUAAUCUGAAGGCUGCGAGUUCGACCCUCGCGGUGGGCU